AUAAGGAACACAACCUUGCCACCACUCAAAUCCCCGCUGAAAAACUCCAAAUACACUCACAAAACCACUGCAAUUCAUCACCAUAAGGUAAGAUUUCCACACAGAUUCCUUCAGUUCAGUUGAGCGAGCAAAAUCCUGCCUUUGUGCUUCCCGGCAUGUAUCUGGAUUUGAACCCGCGUAGAUAUAUAGACGACGAAUUUACACUCCAUCAUCAUUAACCACACUGCGAUAAAACUGACAGCGGUGGUCUCCAUUACUUGACUCUGCUAUGCAAUUUCAGGUGCAGUUAUAGGAGCUUACAAUCUAUUUUCAGUUUUAGUUUUUUAGUUUGUAUUGUUGAUUUGCUGUGUCGCAAUCACUCAAAGAAUUAUAGUAGACUUGGUAAAUUAUUGCUGAGUUUGUUGGUCGAGCUUGGAAAAAUUCCUGGUGGCAGCUGCAAGUUCUUGAAACUUAAACUUAGUGGCUGCAGUAUGCCUUCAGCAUCACUACUGGUACUGGGACAUAUAACAUCACCAAAUUUGUAAUGAAAUUUAUAUUUUGGUUA